CAGCCGUAAACUAUGCUCGCUAGGUGUCAGGCAUGGCGCGACCGUGUCUGGUGCCGCAGGGAAGCCGUGAAGCGAGCCACCUGGGAAGUACGGCCGCAAGGCUGAAGCUUAAAGGAAUUGGCGGGGGAGCACAACAACGGGUGGAGCCUGCGGUUUAAUUGGACUCAACGCCGGGAAGCUCACCGGAUAAGACAGCGGAAUGAUUGCCGGGCUGAAGACUCUGCAUGACUAGCUGAGAGGAGGUGCAUGGCGUAGACGUCU
rnacentral:rRNA from 1 species